rnacentral:rRNA from 1 species
UGAUUCCCCUAGUAACGGCGAGUGAAGAGGGAAAAGCUCAAAGUUGGAACCUGGCUGCCCUAGGCAGUCCGGAUUGUAAACUAAAGAGCGUGAUUCCAGGCAAGCCGGUUGACCAAGUCCUUUGGAAUGAGGCGCCACUGAGGGUGAGAGCCCCGUAAGUCGACUGAGCAUUUGUCUUUUGUGCUUCGCGUUCAAAGAGUCAGGUUGUUUGGGAAUGCAGCCUAAAGCUGGUGGUAAAUCCCACCUAAAGCUAAAUACAGGCGAGAGACCGAUAGCGAACAAGUACCGUGAGGGAAAGAUGAAAAGAACUUUGAAAAGAGAGUUAAACAGUAUGUGAAAUUGCCAAGAGGGAAGCAUUUGGAGUUAGAUUGACUAGGAGUUAAUCAGCUUGGUCUUUGGACUGGGUGUACUUGACUUCUUACAGUCUGCCAAUAGCAGUUAGUCCUAGUGGAAAAAACCAGAGGGAAGGUAGUCCUUCGGGAUGUUUAUAGACCUUUGGAAAAUACACUGGGAUUGACUGAGGAAUGCAGUAGAUGCCACUAAGGCUUCGUCUAGUGGGUGCUAGGCAAAGGUACUUGGUAUUUUCAGCUUGCUGAUGUGCUAGGUUACUCGAGUCUAGUCGCCUACUAGAACUGUAAUC